UGACUCCAGCUCCUGGUUUUGUGUUUUCAGGUCCUGGAUUUCUGCCGUCAGCUUGGCGUUGUUUUCAGAAAUGACGGAGGUAACUACAGUGACAGACAGAAUUUAAUUCAUAUAAUAGAUUAAUAAUUAUUUAUAAAAAUUCAAUUCAACGGGGCUUUAUUGGCACGGAAGUUUCAAGAACAAUGUGUUGUGUAUUCAGUUACUGUUUACCCACUAGAGAGGGCUGUACACCACAUGACCCUGUACUGCAUGAUUUGAAAGGAGAAUUGAGAGAAGAAGAGAAGCAGUGAAGUUCAGAGUUAAAUCCAUGCAAGUGUCUCGCUCUCUUGCUUUGUUUGAAUUACCUGGGCUACAACAAAUUGGCGACCAGGAUGGCGAUUAUUGGCGUUGCAUGGCAUUGUUUCUGCCAUGCACGGGACAACCUGCAAUCCCGUUUGAUAUGUGGAUGAAAAUGUUCGACAAUUAUCUGCUUGCCAUUCACGCGAGGGGGGAAGACUGGCCCGAUAUGAGGGAACAUGCAAUCCUCCUACACUGCCCGGGCACCGAAGGCCAACGUAUAUUUUAUACACUCACAGAUGCAGGUACGACUUAUGAUUCAGCAGGAGCUGCACUGCCUGCACACUUCAACCCUGCAAUUAACGUUGUGUUGGAACGAUACAAGUUCAGACAGAGAGUGCAGAGAUCGCAUGAGACUGUAACGGAGCACGUGGGCUUGCUGCGCGAGC